rfam:Pichia angusta strain DL-1 mitochondrion, complete genome.
GUUCCUAUAGCUUAAUUUGGUUAGAGCAGUAACUUGAAGCGUUAUUGGUAUAAGUUCGAGUCUUUUUAGGGACA